rnacentral:rRNA from 1 species
UGCCAGCAGCCGCGGGAAUACGAAGGGUGCUAGCGUUGUUCGGAAUUACUGGGCGUAAAGAGCACGUAGGCGGUCUGGUAAGUCUGACUGUGAAAUCCCUCGGCACAACCGAGGAACUGCAUCGGAUACUGCCGGACUCGAGUACAGUAGGGGAGAGUGGAAUUCCUGGUGGAGCGGUGAAAUGCGUAGAUAUCAGGAGGAACGCCGGUGGCGAAAGCGACUCUCUGGACUGUAACUGACGCUGAGGUGCGAAAGCCAGGGGAGCAAACGGGAUUAGAUA